AUGCAUUGGGCAUUUACACAUCAAGUCCUUAAAAUGCUCCCAAGUCUCGUACAAACUUUCAUCUUCUAGUUUCUUGAAAGAUGUCAAAUAAUUUCACAGCGU